rnacentral:rRNA from 1 species
CACCCGCAUGGGGGGUUUUGUUGAGAGAAUUUUGGUUUUAGGAUGGACUCGCGGCNUAUCAGCUAGUUGGUGAGGUAAUGGCUCACCAAGGCGACGACGGGUAGCCGGCCUGAGAGGGUGACCGGCCACACUGGGACUGAGACACGGCCCAGACUCCUACGGGAGGCAGCAGUGGGGAAUAUUGCACAAUGGGCGAAAGCCUGAUGCAGCGACGCNGCGUGAGGGAUGAAGGCCUUCGGGUUGUAAACCUCUUUCAGCAGGGAAGAAGCGAAAGUGACGGUACCUGCAGUAGAAGCUCCGGCUAACUACGUGCCAGCAGCCGCGGUAAUACGUAGGGCGCAAGCGUUGUCCGGAAUUAUUGGGCGUAAAGAGCUNGUAGGCGGUUUGUUGCGUCUGCUGUGAAAGCCCGGGGCUCAACCCCGGGUCUGCAGUGGGUACGGGCAGACUAGAGUCAUGUAGGGGAGACUGGAAUUCCUGGUGUAGCGGUGAAAUGCGCAGAUAUCUGGAGGAACACCAGUGGCGAAGGCNGGUCUCUGGUCUGUAACU